AUUUGAUAUAGCUGUGCUGUAGUUACCUAUAUUUUCAGGAAGUUUAAUGUAGGGUGGACCACAUGGACAGCUCCUUAGUGGUCAAUGAAAAUAAGGUCAUUUUCUUCAGCGUCACUAAUGAUCUGUCACAACAUCAGACGUGAGUCUCCAUAUCUUCCUCCUCUGUAGGUUUUUCUGUGUCCUACCAAACACACAUCAGUUUUCUCACAUGACAAUCUAUGUGUGGAGUUCACUUCACUGACGGAAGAAAGUGGAAAAUAUGUCUUUGUCUUAUAUUCUUCUCAUUUAUUCGGUUCCCACUCCCACUAUUGUAUUUUCCUCUGGGUACAUCAAUGUAGCUACACCUGUUACAGUACGCUGUGAGUCACCAAAAGGCACAGAGUGCAAGUUCUACAGAGAUCACCAACCCAACCCUAUAAGAAAACUGGAUUACAAGCAGGGUGCUUGCCAGUUCAAGUUGUUAUGGAAUGAGUUCAAAAAGUGGAACAAGACUGAAGUUGAUCUCAGCUGUGUAAUUCUACAGAAUAGAGAAGAUAAAACGAUCAAAACCUCAAAACCUAGUGAUGCUCGAAGACUUAUAGUGAGUGAUCCAAUUGGAAUGCCCAGUGUUCAUGUGGAGAAGAUCGG
rnacentral:lncRNA from 1 species